CUUCCGUAGGGAGUGCGGGAUCCGCGAGACGUGGCAGCGCCAAGGCACGGAGGGUGGGGGCAUCAUCCUGGAGUCUCGCGGGGGACCUAGACGGCUUCAAAUCCGACCGAGUGCGUUCCCAGACGCUGGGGGAAAAUCAGAAGUGGCGACCAGCCGAUAAGAAAACUGAGUCAAAUGGAAAGAUGAAUGAUGCUUUUGGAUGGGAAGACUCAGUAUCAUAAAGAUCUCAAUUUUCUCAAGAGUCUGCAUUUCCAGCUGUCAACAUCUUCUAUGAUCUGCAAUGACUAAGAAUUUUCACCAUAGAACCUUUUCCAAGAAAAAUGCACAUUUACACCAAAUUGCAAUUUCAGAGAGAACUCAGAACCUCAGAAACCCAUCGAUGAGUAUUCCAGGGUCUCGGGGCCACCAAGAAUUCCUGGACUAGAAGACUUUAUAGCUUUCCCGAAUGAAGGAAGUUCUUACUCA